rnacentral:rRNA from 1 species
UUAAAGGAAUUGACGGGGCCGCACAAGCGGUGGAGCAUGUGGUUUAAUUCGAAGCAACGCGAAGAACCUUACCAGGUCUUGACAUCCCCUGACAACCCGAGAGAUCGGGCGUUCCCCUUCGGGGGACAGGGUGACAGGUGGUGCAUGGUUGUCGUCAGCUCGUGUCGUGAGAUGUUGGGUUAAGUCCCGCAACGAGCGCAACCCUCGACCUUAGUUGCCAGCAUUCAGUUGGGGCACUCUAAGGUGACUGCCGGCUAAAAGUCGGAGGAAGGUGGGGAUGACGUCAAGUCCUCAUGGCCCUUAUGGGUAGGGCUUCACACGUCAUACAAUGGUCGGUACAGAGGGUUGCCAACCCGCGAGGGGGAGCUAAUCCCACAAAGCCGAUCGUAGUCCGGAUCGCAGUCUGCAACUCGACUGCGUGAAGUCGGAAUCGCUAGUAAUCGUGGAUCAGCAUGUCACGGUGAAUACGUUCCCGGGUCUU